GGGCCGUUAGCUCAUUUGGUAGAGCGCCUCAUUUGCACUGAGGAGGUGGCGGGUUCGAAUCCUGUACGGUCCACCA
rnacentral:tRNA from 3 species